UCAUAAUAUCUUUCUUUCUUCUUCUUCUGCAGACUUCUCUUUUUCUUCUUCCCUUCUUUUCUUUUAUUCCUUGCAACACUUCUUCCUUCUUCCAUUUCUUUUGCUGAAGCACCCACACCACCAUGGUACCUCUCACUCACGUCCCCUUCUCCCUCUCCACGAGAUGCCACUGUUGGCCACCAUCACCAUUUCUUCUUCCCCUCAACACCACCGCCCCUCCUCCUCACCGUGGCUGUAUUGUAUGUCCAGCCAAGAGCCACCACCACCUUGACUUUUCUUCUCUUCCCCCAUCACGUCUCUCCCUCUCGUUUCUCCUCUAAAGGUGCAGCAACACCUUCACCAUGCCAUUUAUCCCUUCACCACAUCAUUUAUUUUCUUCUAAAUUGCUUUAAGUUGCAGCACCCACGCACACCCCUCUUCCACCAUGUUAUCACAAGCAUCACCAUGGGUUUUCUUGGCAGCACCCACAACACCAUCGUUACCAUGAAGCAGCCACCACCGUUCCUCUUUCUCUUUUGAUCAGCAUCUUCACAUCCUCUUCUUCUCCAUGGACAAUCAGCUCAUGAGCCACCACCAUAUACAAAAGCUCCAACCAUGGCCACUCCAAACAGCCAUGAACACGCGAGCACCACAGCCACCGCUGGUCACCACCGCCAUGCCUCCUUUCAUGAGCGAACCAUCACGUCUUCUCCAAUCUUCAAGGCUGAAGCCAUUUUUCCUCAAAGCUUUCCUUUUUCGUGCUUUUCUCCUCUCACACAAAGAACAAACAAGGGUACGGACAACGGGAACGCUUGGCGACGAAACCAAAGAACAAAAAGGAAGCGAGCCGACACGGGAAAGCGAGGGUGUGAUUGGAUUGGAGUUGCAGUUUAAGCAUGAAAUUGGCUAAGGCGAUGGAGAAUCUUCGAUGAAGGUUGACCUUCGUGCGAGUUCGAGGUGAGGACUUGAAGAAUUAUGGAAGACUCAAAGAAUAGAGUCGGGUGUAGGGAUAGAGUCUUGGGUUAGAGAGCUUACCGUUAUUGGUUUAGCUUGCAUAAUGAUUUUAUGAAUUUAUAUUUGAGGUUUCGGGUAGGUUUCGAUGCAUUGCUUUCCUGCGGUUCCCCGAUGUGGAGAUCGUAGGGAGUAUUUCGGAUUCAUGGUGUCAUUGCAUAAUAGGUUUUUUGUUGAGUUGUUUCUAUUGGUUAGGUUUUGUAGUUGGGAGUAUGCAUGACAUGUUUUGGAAAUACAUUUGAAAAGAAAAAAAAUAUACUCGUGUUUAUACAUCCUUUUGGAAAACAUCGCAUAUUUACUUUAAUAGGUUACUAAAGUGACACCCGAAAUUCGGGGCGUUACAGCGAGCGCCGCUUUUUCUAUCUUCUGAUACCUGACCUUUGCCCCCUGAAGUGUAUGGCUUACGAAAUAGACUAUCUUUUGCUCUGCAUCCACCUCCUGAAGAAUCACCGAGCUUAUUGUGUGAUCGCCAACGGAGAGGUAUAAAUGCAAAGGCAGGCCUUGGACAGGUUUCGAAAGGACUGGUGGGGCGGACAGUGUGAGACCCAAGUUUUUAAGCUUAGAAUAAAUUAAUUAAAUUCAUAUUCACGAUUAGGUUUCGAUAUAUCGUGAAGGAAAUCUGAACAAGUGUUUACUGAAUGGAAUAAAUUUAUGAAGGAGAAAGUUCAGGAAAAGACUAAGAAUAGUAUUAAAGUCGAUAUAAGUUAUAGCGCGAGUCUUAUUCGCUUACGCCUAGGGCAAGAGCGUUAGUAAACGAUUAAUUUACCCUUAAGAGCACUAUAGAAACUAAUUCCAAAAAUCUUCAGAGAAAUGUAAGAAUUUCUCUUAUUCAUUUCCAUGACAAGCGUUUCGAUACGAAACCCUGAGAUAUACGAACGUUCGAUUCCAAUUCUCGGAGGUUUGCCGAAACUAAAUCCCUGAUAACUCUAGAACCUUAAAAUAAACUGUCAAUGAAGACUUUUUCCAUUCGGAGCUUCAAACGAAGAUUCCACACGCGUGAACCGAUUUCUUUCGAUGUUUCUCAUCUUUCUUCAGAAAGAAGUUUUCUCUUCCGACAUCAACUUCAAAAAGUAGUUUUUCGGGUAAAAUCGAUUUACACCGACUUUGGAUCGUUUGUUUAAAUUCCAAGAAACCUGUUUCGAGUUCUGGAAUUAUGUCGCCAGAACCUAUCUUAGAAUUCACAGAGGAAUGCGCAGGAAAAAUCGGAAUCGCGAAAUAUUCAUUUUCCCGCAUUUUCCAUUACCUAUAAAUAGCAAAAAAAUGAAAAUUUCUCACCACCAUCAUUGAAGAGGCCGCGAGCUUGAGAGGAGAGGGAGGAGAAAAGAUUUUCGCCGUUUCUUGCCUGAUCGUCUCACUAACAGUUGCUACGCGUAGACAUCGAGGUAUAGUUGCUAUUCCAUACUUCUGAUCGUCUAUUCCAUCGUUUUUCUCUAUGUCUUUCUGUGCUCAAAGUUUUGAGCUUUUUGUAAAACUGUCCAAAUAACUUGAUUUCAGUGUCUAAACUUGUUGCCUACAUGCCCAAGAGCAUGAAUAUCCGGUUGUUUCCUGCUGAAUCUCGCCGAAUUGCCGCCGAGUUUCAAUUCUGCUCGAAAAACCCAUUUUUGGCCAAAGCUUCGUCCUUUAGACUUAAAACUCUCGACUGAGCUUAGCUCCAGUAGGAUUAGUUGUCAUAAACUUCGUUGGUGACGUCCCCAUCCAAUUUGUUUUUCGAAAUUCCAAUUUUGAAAUUCCGAGCAAAAGACACUGACCAAAAUACCCCUGCGACAGUUUUCGAUCCGAUAAUUUUUCCGUGCUUUAAUUCGCCUUAGUUGCGAAUAAUGAUAACCUAGGAACCAAGUUUGAUCGAAGAAAAAUCGGCGCACACAAAUAGUGUGUGUGGCCGAGAGCACCCUCCAAGGGGGAGGAAAAUUUGUUUUUCGAAAACAUGUCUUAUCGCGUUAGAUUAUCGUACUUCGGAGUUUAUGAUGCUUCGUGUAACUUAAGUAAUUGUUGUCUGCUGAGUUUCUGACUGAUUGAGAUUGAAUUAUGUGGUUUUCGCCCAAAGGUUCAAUUGUGGAAACUUUGGGGUUGACUGAACAAGCUUGUGAGGGAGACCUACACCGCGAGACUGGAACAACUCGAGGCGUCCGUCAGUCGAUUCGUGAUGAUUCGUCACUCGAGGAGGACCAGGAGCGUAAUGACUUUUACUGAAGCUUUCGACGAGGACCCGGACUGAAUGCAUGACCAGAUGAGGGUCGAUGAUGGAAGUAUAGGGUAUGGGUGUUUAGAGCCUACUAAGGUUGGGCGUUAGUGUCAUAGCUCUGAUUGUCAUUUCUCAUUUUGGGGCAGGGUAGGUCCCCGACUAUUAGCUUUUUGUGUGGUUCCCUUCCAUGAGGAUCACAGGGAGUUUGUCGGACGUAGGAGGUAUUUUGGAAGCCGUUAUGGGCUAACUUACUUUCUUGGAGGACUGUAUUUAUAAAACUUAUGACUCUAUCUAUGGGUCGCACUUGUUUGCCGUUGGGCAAUACUUUUAGUUACUUAAUGUUACUUUCCGUCACUUGAGGACACUCGUGACGAUGUUUUUAGUUGCAGCAAGGGCUGUAUUUAUAUUGUAUAUUAGUCGCUGUUAAUCGCGAUUGGGUUGAGUCUUUAUUUCGACAAGUCAUUUUAUUUAAACAAAACGAAAAAAAAAUAUUCACGUUUUUUUUAUUUUCGCUUUAUUUUAUUUUUGAGUUACUAAAGUGACACCCGAAAAUCGGGGUGUUACAGACAGCAUCUCCAUGAGGCGGGUGAAAGCUUCCUCGCACUCUGAAUUCCACUCAAAUGUCGCGUUCUUCUUGAGGCAUUUAAAGAACGGGGCUGACUUGUCGCCCGAGUGAGGGAGAAAACGGGGUAAGGUCGCGAUCUGCCCGGUUAGCCUCUGCACUUCCUUCACGUUGCUUGGGCUUUUCAUCUCUUGGAUCGCCUUGCACUUGUCUGGAUUGAUUUCGAUUCCUCUAGACGUAAUCAUGAAGCCUAAAAACUUCCCACCCUGUAUGCCGAAAGAACACUUUUCCGGAUUAAGCCUCAUGUUAUGCUUCCGAAUCCUAUCGAAAGCCUCCAUCAAAUCCUCAUGAUGAUUCGAUCCCAGAACCGAUUUGACGAUCAUAUCGUCAAUGUAUACCUCUAUGUUCCUUCCUACUUGGCCUUCAAACACUUUAUCCAUCAACCGCUGAUACGUCGCCCCCGCAUUCUUCAACUCAAAAGGCAUAGUUUGGUAACAGUAGUUCAUCCUUGCGGUCAUAAAAGUUGUUUUGUCUUCGUCCGACGGAUGCAUCUUGAUUCGAUGAUAUCCUGAAUAAGCAUCCAUUAAACUCAGAAGUUCAUUCCCUGAAGCUCCGUCCACCAGCUUAUCUAUGCUCGGCAAGGGAUAUGAAUCCUUUGGGCAUGCCUUGUUCAAGUCUGUAUAAUCCACGCACAUUCGGCACUUCCCGUUCGCCUUCUUGACCAUCACAACAUUUGACAACCAGGUAGGGUACUUGAUUUCCCGUAUGAAGUCUGCCGCAAGCAACUUGUUUACCUCUUGCUGGAUAGCCUUCUCUUUCUCGUUUCCCAUUCUCCGGCGAGUUUGGGUUAUAGGCUUAGCCCCUGGAUUCAAUGCAAGCCUGUGGCAAAUGAAGUUUGGGUCUAUACCUGGCAUGUCCUUGUGACUCCAGACAAAAAGGUCUAGAUUGUCGCCUAACAACUUUGAUAACCUUUGUUCUUGGUCCUUACUUAACUUGGUUCCUAUCUUGAGUAUCUUCUCGCCGAACUUAAGCUCUUUGGUUUCUUCUAUCGGUGUGGGCCUACUGACACGUCCCUCGCCCCUUGGGUCCAAAUUUUCUUAUGGCGCCUCAACUUCGCUGCAACGGUGCCCGACUGAAGCAUUUUUCUUCCCAUAUCGAUCCACAACAUUACAGUAGCAUUCCCUUGCGAUCCUUUGAUCCACAACAAUUCUUCCAAUAUGCCCACUCGGCAGUGGAUACUUCACUGCCAGGUGUGCUGUUGAGAUCACGACACACAGACGGUUUAAGGUGUUUCGCCCGAUGAUCAUGUUGUAUGACCCGUCCGCCUCAAGGACUAAAUAUUUGACGCUGAUCGUCCUAGCGUUCUCUUCCUCGCCAAACGUGGUAUCAAGGUUGUGAACACCUAAUUUUGUCCUACCUUAAUAAUAUUAAAUUUAGCCCUCAA